AUGUCGGCGAAGCUGCGGGUGGAGGAGCUCCGCGCCGAGCUGCAGCGCCGCGGCCUCGACGCCUCCGGCACCAAGCCGGCGCUGGUGCUAAGGCUGGACGCUGCAAUCUGUGAGGAAGAGAAGGAGGCGGCUUCUGCAGCUGAGAUAUGUAAUGUAGAUGGCAUAGACGGUGUGGUCAUGGAUGGCAAAGCGGAAGGCAAGAGCAAAAGGAAGAGGAAAAGGCAUGGUGAAGGUGAAAAUGAGGAGGAAAAUGACAUUUUGGAUGCGGCAAAGCUACAGAGCAUGGGCUAUCGUGAGCUGCAGGCUUUGGCCAAGGCACGGGGGCUCAACGCUAAUGGGGGCAAGAAGGAUGUUCUACAGAGGUUGCUCUCCAGCCCUGCUACUUCUGUUGUGGAUUGUGGUAUUCAGGACAAGAAGGAAGUAGCAGAAGCUGAUGAUGGGAAGGUUGAGGAAUUGAAAAAGAAAAAAAUGGUCACAGAUGUGAUGCUGGAUGCGGCACAGCUACAGGGCAUGGGCUACCGGGAGCUGCAGGCAUUGGCCAAGGCACGGGGACUCGCAGCGAAUGGGAUCAAGAAGGAUGUUAUUGAGAGGUUGCUAUCAACCCCUGCUAAUUCUGUGGCAGUUGCAGAUGGUGGUUUCCAGGACAAGAAGAAACUUGCAAAAGGUGGUGUUGGGGAGGUUGAAGAGGAGGUGAAAAAGGAGAAGAUUGUCAAAGCCACGAAGAAAGGUGCUGCAGUGCUGGAUGAGCACAUCCCUGACGAUAUAAAAAUGACCUAUCAUGUAUUGCAAGUGGGUGACGAGAUCUAUGAUGCCACCUUGAACCAGACUAAUGUUGGAGACAACAAUAAUAAGUUCUAUAUCAUUCAAGCUUUAGAAUCUGAUGCUGGUGGAAGCUUCAUGGUUUUCAAUAGAUGGGGGAGAGUAGGGGCACGAGGUCAACAAAAGCUACAUCCCUGUUCAUCACGAGACGAAGCAAUAGACGAGUUUGAGGGGAAGUUUGAGGACAAAACAAAAAACAGUUGGUCCGACCGCAAGAAUUUUGAGUGUUAUGCAAAGAAAUACACGUGGCUUGAAAUGGACUAUGGUGAAGUCGACAAGGAAACAACUCAGGUUCAAAAGAAAGGUUCCAUUACUGAUCAUUUAAAAGAGACAAAGCUUGAAACUCGAACUGCCCAAUUUAUAUCCCUCAUUUGCAAUAUAAGUAUGAUGAAGCAACAAAUGAUGGAAAUUGGUUAUAAUGCUGAUAAACUUCCCCUUGGAAAGCUAAGCAAAUCUACAAUACUUAAGGGCUAUGAUGUUUUGAAGAGGAUUUCCAAUGUUAUUUCAAGGGCAGACAGAAGACAGCUUGAACAAUUGACUGGGGAAUUCUACACCGUGAUUCCUCAUGACUUUGGUUUUAAAAAGAUGUGUGAAUUCCUUAUCGACACUCCUCAGAAAUUAAAAGCUAAGCUGGAAAUGGUUGAAGCCCUUGGGGAGAUUGAAAUUGCAACUAAGCUUCUGGAGGAUGAUUCAAGUGACCAGGAGGAUCCACUGUAUGCUCGAUACAAGCAACUUCAUUGUGACUUUACGCCUCUUGAAGUUCAUUCAAAAGAGUACUCUAUGAUAAAAACAUAUCUGACGAAUACACAUGGCAAAACACACUCGGGUUAUACUAUUGACAUUUUACAAAUGUUUAAGGUGUCAAGACAUGGUGAAACAGAGCGGUUUCAGAAGUUUGCUAGUGCAGGAAACAGGAUGCUUUUAUGGCAUGGUUCUCGGCUGUCCAACUGGGCUGGGAUAUUUUCUCAGGGUUUGAGAAUUGCUCCUCCUGAAGCGCCUGUUACUGGCUACAUGUUUGGAAAAGGGGUUUACUUUGCCGAUAUGUUCUCCAAGAGUGCAAACUACUGCUAUGCUUCACAAACAUCUAGAUCUGGGGUGCUGCUUCUAUGUGAGGUUGCACUGGGCGAUAUGAAUGAACUACUAAAUGCGAAAUACGAUGCUGAUAACCUGCCCAAGGGGAAAUUAAGUACCAAAGGAGUUGGCCAGAUGGCACCAGCGGAGUCGAAGGUCACUGAGGAUGGCGUUGUUGUUCCACUCGGAAAACCGAAAGAGGAACCUUCAAAGAGGGGUAGCUUGCUGUACAAUGAGUACAUUGUUUACAACGUAGAGCAGAUCAGGAUGCGGUACGUGCUCCAUGUUUCCUUUAACUUCAAGGGAGGACGGUAG
rnacentral:rRNA from 1 species